rnacentral:rRNA from 1 species
UGACAUAGCGGCGGACGGGUGAGUAAUGCUUAGGAAUCUGCCUAUUAGUGGGGGACAACAUUCCGAAAGGAAUGCUAAUACCGCAUACGCCCUACGGGGGAAAGCAGGGGAUCUUCGGACCUUGCGCUAAUAGAUGAGCCUAAGUCAGAUUAGCUAGUUGGUGGGGUAAAGGCCUACCAAGGCGACGAUCUGUAGCGGGUCUGAGAGGAUGAUCCGCCACACUGGGACUGAGACACGGCCCAGACUCCUACGGGAGGCAGCAGUGGGGAAUAUUGGACAAUGGGCGAAAGCCUGAUCCAGCCAUGCCGCGUGUGUGAAGAAGGCCUUUUGGUUGUAAAGCACUUUAAGCGAGGAGGAGGCUACUUGGAUUAAUACUCUAGGAUAGUGGACGUUACUCGCAGAAUAAGCACCGGCUAACUCUGUGCCAGCAGCCGCGGUAAUACAGAGGGUGCGAGCGUUAAUCGGAUUUACUGGGCGUAAAGCGUGCGUAGGCGGCUUUUUAAGUCGGAUGUGAAAUCCCUGAGCUUAACUUAGGAAUUGCAUUCGAUACUGGGAAGCUAGAGUAUGGGAGAGGAUGGUAGAAUUCCAGGUGUAGCGGUGAAAUGCGUAGAGAUCUGGAGGAAUACCGAUGGCGAAGGCAGCCAUCUGGCCUAAUACUG